AUUUCUUUAAGAAUGAAAUUUAAUCAGUUCUCAACACUUUUGAAUAAUGAUUUGCUCUAUGAAAGUGAGCUGGCAGUUCUGAAAAUAUUUUUCAGGGCCCUGUGCCCACUCACACUGAGACUAGGCAGACAUCUUGCUGUGCUGUGUUGUUGCAACUCCCUUUUUUCCUGACAGUGGAUUGAGUGAGGAGGAGACCCAAAUGAUAGCUGAGACAGACCACAUGCAGAUAUGCAUUCACAGCUGCAUGGUUGGAGCUAUAGCUGGGAUACCCAGAAGCAGAGGAUCAGACCAACAUCAGACCAACGGCUUGCAACUAAUUUUCUCCAAGUGGAUGACUUUAACCAGAACAUAUAAGGCACAUUCUAAGACACAAAGACCUUUCAUUCUCCUUCAUCUACACCCUGCACCCCUGAAGGUGCCUUGGCUACAGAUCUCAGUUUAUGUUCUGCUUAAGGAGCAGGAUAUCUGGCAGUACUUUCCCAGAGGAUUUAAUUGAGAAAUCACACUGUGACAUACAGACAGUUUUUGGAAAAGCCUACAGCAAAGAGUAAGUUCCAAACUGCUAUUCUUUAGUAGCUGUAUACAUUAUUGUACUCUCAUGUCUUCAUUUGCUUACUUUU
rnacentral:lncRNA from 1 species